ensembl:misc_RNA Metazoa_SRP Metazoan signal recognition particle RNA
GCCGGGCGUGGUGGCGUGUGCCUGUAGUCCCAGCUACUCGGGAGGCUGAGGCUGGAAGAUCUCUUGAGCCCAGGAGUUCUGGGCUGUGGUGCACUAUGCCGAUCAGGUGUCCGCACUAAGUUCGGCAUCAAUAUGGUGACCUUCUGGGAGUGGGGGCCACCAGGUUGCCUAAGGAGGGGUGAACCGGCCCAGGUUGGAAACGGAGCAGGUCAGUAGUGGGAUUGCGUCUGUGAACAGCCACUGCACGGCAGCCUGGGCAACAUAGCGAGGCCCAGUCUCUA